GGACUGGGAUUCAUGCAGAAACUGAUCAGCAGACAGCUCAAGGUUUUCUGACGUUCCUCCGAGCUACCAAAGGAUCAACUGCAUCUGUCAACGGGGUUAAGCUACAGCCGAAUGACGUGCUGAUGUGGCUGACGGGAUCAGCGACAAUGCCGGCAGUGGGCUUCCAUAAAGUUAUUGAUGUGGAAUUUGGGGACACGCUUCGGGUUGACACAUGUGCCCUGGUGUUGACGCUGGCUGAAGUGCCACGCGAAGUUGAAGAUGUUGUGCAACAUUACUCCGAACUGCUCAUCAAUAGCCAGACAUUUCAAGCGGAAUAAUUUCCCAAGAUAGUUUAAUACAUCAUGACUCAUUAGGAAAUUGUGUUAUAUUCCUUUUCAUGGGUAUAUAUGGAACGGUUUUCGGUAAAAAUCAUUCGUGGUGAAUAUUUACAUUAUGACUGAUGUUAAUUCUAAUAUGCUUCAUGACAAUUCCAAACAUGCCGGUUGUCUAUUCGUUUAUACUUUAUGAUUGUGGCAACAUUACAUCAUUGAUGGUGAAUAUAUACAUUAUUCCUGAUGUUAAUUCUAAUAUGCUUCAUGAAAAUUCGAACAUGCUUGUUGUCUUUUCGGUUAUACUUGAUGAUUGUUGCAACAUGCUUGGUGACUUUCCAA